rnacentral:rRNA from 1 species
UGGGGAAUAUUGCACAAUGGAGGGAACUCUGAUGCAGCGACGCCGCGUGAGUGAUGAAGCAAUUCGUUUCGUAAAACUCUGUUCUAUGGGAAGAAAAGGACUGUACCAUAGGAGAAAGCUCCGGCUAAAUACGUGCCAGCAGCCGCGGUAAUACGUAUGGAGCGAGCGUUGUCCGGAAUUAUUGGGCGUAAAGGGUGCGCAGGCGGCUUUACAAGUUGGAUGUGAAAUAUUGUGGCUCAACCACAAACGUGCAUCCAAAACUGCAAAGCUUGAGUUAAGGAGAGGUAAGUGGAAUUCCUGGUGUAGCGGUGGAAUGCGUAGAUAUCAGGAGGAAUACCGGUGGCGAAGGCGACUUACUGGACUUAAACUGACGCUAAGGCACGAAAGCGUGGGGAGCAAACAGG